rnacentral:rRNA from 1 species
GACGAACGCUGGCGGCGUGCUUAACACAUGCAAGUCGAACGAUGAACCCGGAGCUUGCUCUGGGGGAUUAGUGGCGAACGGGUGAGUAACACGUGAGUAACCUGCCCUGGACUCUGGGAUAAGCGUUGGAAACGACGUCUAAUACCGGAUAGGACCUUGGAUCGCAUGAUCUGGGGUGGAAAGUUUUUUCGGUCUGGGAUGGACUCGCGGCCUAUCAGCUUGUUGGUGAGGUAAUGGCUCACCAAGGCGUCGACGGGUAGCCGGCCUGAGAGGGUGACCGGCCACACUGGGACUGAGACACGGCCCAGACGCCUACGGGAGGCAGCAGUGGGGAAUAUUGCACAAUGGGCGAAAGCCUGAUGCAGCAACGCCGCGUGCGGGAUGACGGCCUUCGGGUUGUAAACCGCUUUUAGUAGGGAAGAAGGGCUUCGGCUUGACGGUACCUGCAGAAAAAGGACCGGCUAACUACGUG